rnacentral:rRNA from 1 species
CCUACGGGAGGCAGCAGCGAGGAAUCUUGCACAAUGGGCGAAAGCCUGAUGCAGCGACGCCGCGUGGGGGAUGAAGGCUCUAGGGUCGUAAACCCCUUUUGCCAGGGAAGAAGAUCUGACGGUACCUGGCGAAUAAGCCACGGCUAACUACGUGCCAGCAGCCGCGGUAAUACGUAGGUGGCAAGCGUUGUCCGGAUUUACUGGGCGUAAAGCGCGUGUAGGUGGUUUGGAAAGUCCGGGGUGAAAUCUUGCGGCUCAACUGCAAGAGGUCCUUGGAUACUUCCAGACUUGAGGGAGGCAGAGGAAGGUGGAAUUCCCGGUGUAGUGGUGAAAUGCGUAGAUAUCGGGAGGAACACCAGUGGCGAAGGCGGCCUUCUGGGCCUUUCCUGACGCUGAGGCGCGAAAGCGUGGGUAGCAAACCGGAUUAGAUACCCUAGUAG